rnacentral:rRNA from 1 species
AUUGAACGCUGGCGGCAGGCCUAACACAUGCAAGUCGAGCGGAGAGGCGGACGGGUGAGUAAUGCCUAGGAAUUUGCCUGGGGGUGGGGGAUAACGUCCGGAAACGGGACAUAAUACCGCAUAAUUUCAGAGCAGCCUAGGUCGGAUUAGCUAGUUGGUGGGGUAAAGGCUUACCAAGUCGACGAUCCGGAACAGGUCCGAGAGGAGGGUCAGUCACCCGGGAACUUAGACACUGUCCCUACUCCUACGGGGAGCAGCAGGGGGGAAUAUUGGGCAAUGGGCCGAAGUCUGAUCCAACCAUGCCGCGUGUGUUAAGGAGUGCUUCGGAUUGUAAAGCACUUUUAGUUGGGAGACGUUUCCAACACAAUAAGCACCGGCUAACUUCGUGCCAGCAGCCGCGGUAAUAC